CAUGCUACCCUGAACAAGCCAGAUCCUGUCUGAUCUCAGAAGUGUAUCAUCUCUAUUUGGAUCAUAUUUUCUCAAAGUCCAAAAAAGAACUACAAGUUUUGCAGGUGCACACAGGCUGAAGCUCUGUUGGCAUGUGCUGUGAACACAACCAGCAUUGUGUAUAGCUCAAGUCCAGGCUGUUCAUGUACUACUUUCUUCCAUAUUGGAAUGCAAGACCCAACCUGGAAUACCACAUUGCAUUUAGCCUGUAUGUAUUUUAAUAAUGGACGAGAUAUAAAAGUAAGAGGGAAAGCAUUUUGUCUGUACUCAGAUAUCACUGUUGUUAAUAUUUUGGUGUAUUCUCUUCCUAACACACCACAUAAGCGUGCAUCACACACAUUUCAGGUUCAGAAUGCUUACCUAUUUUGCCCCCUAUUUUUUAAUCGUUUAACAAAUCUAUUAUGUCUGUGCUAUUAAUUAGUGUUGGAAACUGUUUUAGGUGCAUGUAAUUUUUAUCGUAUGGAUUUAGUUUAAGCUAACAUUACCAGAUUAUUGAAUGCUUGUUUCCAUUUUUCUUCUUAUAAAUGACAUUGUGAUGAUUUUGAGUGUGCAUGGACUCUGGGCAGUAUUCAUAUUUCUGCAGGCUGAUCACAAAGAAGAAUAUAUAAUGUGAAGAUCUAUCUCCUUUUAUUAUAGUUUUUAAUGCAAGAGGAACACAUUUAAACGGUACUGAAAUCUGUAAUAUUGAAAAUGAAAAUCUUCCCCUGCUCUGGUAGACUUACUUCCCUGAGGAAAAGAAAGUAGUGUGAGGUCUCUGGCCUUCACCUGAGUCAGUGUGACUUAAACAACUAGGUGUGUUUCCAGCAACCAAGUAAAAAAGCAGCUUUGACACUGAGCUUUUCAUAAAUGUUCAAAGUUGCAGUGAGUUCUCAGGAAGAAUAUCUCAGCCUCAUUAUCUUUUGAUUUGUGGCCAAGGGUGGCUUUGCUUGGGCAUUUCCUGUGAUUGGGGUUGGCUGUUUUUAUUUUCAGGAUUUGUCACUGCUCAUUUGUCACAGAGGAAUCAGUUUCAUUACUAGUUAACAGUCUUCAAUGCCAGGGAAAAAGAAUCCCCUGAUUGUCCCUGCCUUCUAGAAUAGAUAAUUCAUUUGUUCCCAGGACACUAAAUCCUGUAGGGAUAAGCCCCCAAGCUACCAUCAGCUGACACUGUCCUUGGCCAUGAGAGUAUCCAGGAAACAUCAUAGCACUCCUGGCUCACAAAGCUGCAAGCCACAGUAGCUAGACUAGGAGCUCACAGUUGAUGUUGGGGUUUAUUGCCACCAGGGAACAGAGUAUAGGUAAGGAAAAAAGUGGGACCUCUGAAGUUGGACAGGCCUGGACUCAAAUCCUAAUAGGCAGGAUCCAAUACCUACUAGGAACUCCGACUUUAAGCAAGUAACUGAGCCCCUCUGAACCUGAGCUUUCUCAACUGUGAAUGUAGGUUGUUACACCUGCUGUUGUAUAAUUUGGACAAGAUAUCAAAAUGUCUGGUACAGUGCCUGACACAUAGUAUGCCAUCAGAAAAAAAUUUGUUAAAUAAAGGAAUGGGUGAAUGACUCACGGAGCCAGUUGAAUACCCUAUUUUUUAAAAUAAUUUUACAGCCAUUUAUAAUAGAAAGCAUGAAAAAUAUCAAUGCAGUGAGUUAAACGUCAAUUUCAUUUCUUCCCCAGGGAGACAGACAACAUAAACCAACUCUAGCUCACUAACAUAAAAGGAAUUUAUUGACAGGACACUCAGGUCCUGAAAUCUAAGAAUUAAAACAACCAGUCUUUGGAUGAGCUAGAGACAGGCAACUUCACGGUCUUCAGAAGCACAAAAUUAUGGAGCCUUUCUCUAGAUCACUGACAUUUGUAUUUCUCAUCAUUAGUGAACAGUCAUCAGGUGAACUGGCUCUGGACAGGAAGGCAGGGGCAUGUGGCAUAAGCAUGGCUUCUGGGGACCCCUCCUCUGUAUCAGGGGCAAUUUCCAGGGCAAGAGGACUAUUGGGAGCUGGUAGUCUCACAUAUUUAGAUUUUACAAAUUGAUUCUGUCUGUUUGUCUUUCUGUCUGUCUGUCUUCAGGAAACUAUUACUAUGAGGAAAAUAAUGAAUAUAUCCAUCAUCUCUGGAAGUUUCCUUAUACCUCUUUGUAUUCUCACCCUCCCACCCCUCCAUGCCCCUCUACCUGUCCCUAGGCAAUCACUGAUUUGCUUUUGUCACCAUAGAUUACUUUGCACUUUCUAGAAUUGUAUAUAAAUGAGAUCAUACAGUAUGUACUCUUUCUUGUCUGACUUCUUUCAGUCAGCAUAAUUAUUUUGAAAUAAUUAUUUUGAACUCAAUUAAUCUGUGUUAUAGCAUGUAUCAGUAAUUCAUUCCUUUUUAUGGACAAGUAGUAUUCCAUUUUAUGGUUAUACCACAAUUUGUUUAUCCAUUUACUUCAUGGACAUUUGGGUUUCUCAUCUGGGGCUAUUAUCAACAAAGCUGCUAUGAGAAUUCAUGGACACGUUUUGUCUUGUGAAAAUAUGUUCUCAUUUCUGAAGGACCUGAAUGGGUGGGUCAUAUUUUAGGUGUAUAUUUAACUUUUUUCAGAAACCGCUAAGCAGUUUUACAAAGUACUUGUACUCUUUUACAUUCUCAUCAGUAAUGUGUGAAAGUCCCUGUUGUUCCAUAUCAUAUCCUUACCUAAACUUGGUAUGUAUCCAGAAUUUAUUUAAUAAAAAAACCCUCUCAAAACUUAAUAUUAAGAAGAUUAACAACCCAUUUUUUUAAUUGGUAAAAGAUUUUGACAAAUAAUUUACCAAAGAAGAUAUAGUCAUUAGAGGAAUUAGAAAAAUGACAUGCUUAUUCAAAUGGCUAAUGGUAAAGGGGAGGUAAUAAUUUUACAUUGUUAUGAAUCCCACGUUAAAGAUGAGAAAGCUGAGGCUCAGAGAAAUAAGUAACCAGUUAUUGAGUGGUGAAAUGUGAAUUUGAACCCAGGCUUGUUAACCCCUGCUUAACCUCCGUGCUGUACAAGCAGGUCCUUUGAAGAAGGCUUCAAAAGCCAAGAUUGGCAACAGGAGAACUCACUUAUUACUUAAGAAUGCAAUUUCCACUUUUUCUCCUGAUGGGACAGCCUGCUACCAGUCACAGUGGAUGUUGUGGAACUUCACGUUUUGGCAUAAGGAUAAAAUUUGUGUUUUUUCCGACAUCCACCUUUGUCUAGUUGUCUCUUGAGAAGAGUACUUGAAGUAUAGAGUGCCCACCAAAGUUUCAUUGGUCCAACAAAGAUAUAGCCCUUUUUAACCAUGAUGGUUAAGAAUAUGAGGGGUUUUUUGGCUCAGACAAAUCUGAGUUUGAAUUACAGAUCUACUAUUAUCUGUGUGAUCCUGGGCAAGUUACUAAACCUUUGAACUUUGACUUCAUCGUCUAUAAACUGGGAAUGAUACUGACCUUACAGUGUUUAAAGGUUUAGAGAUGCUGAUGUAUAUAGAGAAUUUACCACAAUGUCAUGUACUUAAUACAUUCUAACACUAUUACCAUGUCACAAACAAUAAUAUAUAAUCACACUAAGAAUAGGUGUGUUAAGCUUCUCACUACAAAGCCUAAAUAACACACUAACUCAUCACUAACUAAUGUCUUGCAUCUCUCUGGAGACUUGCUCCUUCACUGAGGAAAUUCUAAUCCACCGACAGAUGAUGGCAUAUAAUUCUAUAAGAAUUAUUAAGAAAUCAGUGAAAUAUUCAUCCUUUAGUUGUAAACAUUAGACAUAUUCUUUGGAGGGAAUAUCUAUGGUUGCUGUGGGGCCACAUCAAUUAAAUAUCUGGUGGAGUUUUUAGAGUUCAAUAUCAGGUAUGCAUGGUGUAAAGAAAUCAAAGUAACUGUAAUAAAGAGCUCCAUGGAGCACUAUUACUCAUGCUAAGAUGACUAAAGACCGGCUGCAGUUCUGUGUGGCUUAUAAACCUUAUCAGGUGCUCACACCCAGUAUAAUCCCUUCAUCCUUUACCUGCUCUGACUCCACCAGCUCUUUUUCCAGGCCCCUGAAAGUGCUACUGUAGCUACCAAUGAUGCAUUUCCCUCUGUCCUAUUGUUUUUCUUCUGAAACAAAAUCAGUAUUUUUAGUCCCUACUAAGGGACCUCAGCAAAGCUUCCUCCAAGCACUUGGAUGUAAGAUUAUGAGGGGAGACAAGCCGGUUUCUCUACGGGAUGCCUCCAGCAACUUCCUCUCAGGUAGUCCAGUAAUGAGCUAGCCUUGCAGAGAGAGCCAAAAGCUCUACUGGAUGGCACCAAUGCUGAUAUGCAAACUGCCCAGAAGAUGGGCCCUGAGAAGAGAACGUUUUUCACACAGACAAGGCUGUGCCUUUUCAGACCUACUGGGUCAGGUGAUCUCUGUCACCUCCUAGCUAUAAAUAUAUGAGGUGGCAAGGCACUGGGCGGUCUCUCUCCUGGAGCAUGAUUUAAAUUGUUCCAGCCAUGCAAGCUUAAACAGGACACACUCAGCUUAAACCAUGGGAUGGUGAGACUAGGGGACUGUCUUUAUCCUGUGCCUUGAGCCCAAGUGUUGACAAUUUCUUCAUUUGUGUAUCAUUGUGGUGUUUGACUCUGUCUCUUUUGCAACAGAAAAAUAAUAACUUGUUCUUUCAUAAUCUGACUUAAAAACAAGCACAAAACACUUUAGAGUGGAGAUAUCUACAUUCAACUCCAAAGCCAGUAAGAUAUGCCCUCAACUUAUCUGAUGAUCCAUUCAUUCCUUUUUAUUUAUACUGUGGUAAAAUACACAUAAAAUUUACCAUCUUUGCUAUGUUUAAGUGUACAGUUUAGUGGUAGUAAGUACAUUCAUAUCAUUAUGCAACCAUCACAACCAUCCAUCUCCAGAAUUCUUUUCAUCUUGCAAAACUGAAAGUCUCUACCCAUUAAAUAAUAACUCUCCAUUCCCACUCUUCAAGCCCCUGGCAACUACCAUUUUUUUUUUCUGUCUCUAUAAAUUUAACUACUCUACAUACCUCAUAUAAGCGGAAGCAUGCAGUGUUUAUUUUUUAGUUCUAUUCAUUCUUAAGUUUUAUUGAUAGAAUCAGAAGUUAGCCAGUCACUUUCUAGAACCCUUAGCAAGGGAAUUCGUACAGACAGUUGGGUGAAUCCUGCUGUUUAUCUUGAUGCCAUUAAAUAUAUAUAUAUCUGGAUUUCUUCUGAUUCCAUGUUUACAAAGCAACCAUCUGAUUAUUGUACGGCUUUUUACAAUAGAUACAAUUAGCUGUCUUCCAAACAUCCAUCCUGUUCACAUUGUAUGGCAUUGCAUUGUAGUUUCGAUGGUAUUGCCAUCCCUUAACUCCAGAGAUUGGCAUUAAACCAAUUUUCACAAACCCAUACUCUUUGUCACGGUGAUUGAUUCAGGAAUGGAUACUGACCUAGACCUAAACUAAUUCUCUGGCUAUAGUGAUUAGUUCGUGGAUAGGUAAUUUAGUUCAAUAAAAGUGGAAUCUAGGACCUUUAUUUGAUGACUGGGCAGAAAGAAGCCAUCCUUCUUUUACUGAAGUUGAAAAAAAAUACAUAUCAUCUUAUUGCUACUGACAGCCAUUUUGUAGCCAUGAAAAGAAGUAGCCCUAGGAGGGUGCCAGUAUGAUGGAAAAUAGAGCCAAAUAAAUGGAAAGAAAUUUAAUCCUUGGCGAUAGCCUUCAGCUGCUGGAUCAAGCCUUGCCUGGAGCACUCCCUACCACAGACCCUUUUGAGUUAUAUGAGUCAGUAAAUUCUUUUUGUUGUUUAACCAAACUGAACUGGGGUUUCUAUUGUUUUUGAGUACCUCCUGAUGUGAAAAGGGUCAGAAAAUAAUGGUUAGAUGGGUUUGACAUAUUUCCUUUGAUACUAAUUUCUCACUGUGAAAAAAUAAAUUGGUAUUUUGGUUUUACACAUUAGUUUCUUUAGCUUGUUUAAUGUGAGAUGUGGAGUCAUUCUCAGAACCCUGACAAAAUUCUGUUUCUGACUUCGUCCUACUGGGGACCAUGGUAUACUUUCAAGGUAAUGAAAAUCAUCCUGUGGAGACAUCCUGGGAGAAGACCUUAGUGAUUAUACAUGGUCUGCCUUGAAGGUUCUCCUUGAACUUGAGCUUCUGUUUCAUCCCUUUGAAUUUCUGUAGCCAUUAGAAAUUCUUUUGAACAUCAGUGAUUGUUCUAAAAUAGCAACUGCACUAGUCGAAUUAUUGGCCACCUGGUCUCUGACAAUUGGCCUCACAUCCUGGGAGUUUCCUACCUUAGGUCCUGUUACAUUCUCAGUCUGGUAAAAGGUAGCAAAGUCUUCUUCCUAUAAAUUCUAAACCCUUUGUGUGUGGCCAUGAUGGAAGUCACGAUCUAACACAAUGCCUAGUAAAUAGGGUGUCGACUCUGAAUCUGAGGGACCCCUCUAGUUCUUCCACUGGCAGCCCUGAGGAAGUUAGAAGAUACCAAGUUCAUAGAAGCUAAAACUUUUCUUGGUCUUGUUUAACAAUCUUUCUAACUUAACCAGAGGCCUUGGACCCUUCUUGUGUCAUAAUUAUGUGUUCUCAGUGUUUUUCCCCUUCCUUCUCCCCUUAAAGAAAUCUAUGGAUCAUUUCUCCUCCUUCUGCUUUUGCUGGAUAAAAUAUAUAUUACACAUAGAAUAGAAACAACAUGUUACCAAUAGGGUUGCUUCUACAUGAUGUGUUCAUGAAGCAUUUCUUCCUAAAGGAACUCAAAAUGCAAAAUGAAGAUGCUAACAAAAGAUUGCAAUUAUAUAGAAAACCUGAGUAUUUAUUGGUUUUAAUUUUGCCCUGGAAGUUGAGGGUUCCUUAAAUGCAGGGAAAGUUGUGGAUAAAUUAGGUUCAGCCAUCCUUUGGGAAAUGCUAUAGACAGACACACAUUCCUUCACUUGUAGCUAAAUGCAGAGCUAUUUGCCCUGCCAGCACCAAGAUAAGACACACUUGGAAUUCCUGUCUAUAAACAUUUAAAUCCAGUCACUCUAAACCUAUUGCGGCCCUGUCUUGUAUUUUCUCAUUUCCAGUGACGGGAUCAUUUUUUUUCUGAGCAUGCUGUGUGAACUGGUUGAAUAGAGUGCCAUGAAGGUCUUUAAUAAAUUAUGAGUGGAUUUAUGGGUUCCGCUCAGGGCCAUCGUAGGUUGGCUGAGUUGAAAUGAAAUGGGACAUAUUUAUCUGGAAGGUCCAGGGGGUCCUAGGUAGUAGAGAAAGAUUCAUGAAUGGAAGCUAUGUAUAUAUAUUACUAUAUAGGCUCCUUACUCUACAUGGACAAUUGUCUCUAAAGUUGAAUAAUCUCAUCACAUUAAAGUGACACAUUGUCUAAUUGGUUACUUGAGAAAACUUCUUCCAGUUUACCUUUUACAAAAUCAUAGCAGUGAGCAAACUCUCAAAGUCAGCCCCAUGGUUAAAAGAGAAAAGCAUCAAAGCAAUAAAAAAUAGAUGGUCCUCAUUUAUAUGCUGAACAUCUCUAAGAACAGAUCUUUCACAAUCUGUCUCAUGACUAGCAUUUUCCAGCAUGUUACAUUCCCCAGCUCCUGUACUCUCAUUAGGAGGAGGAGAUGACUGUAGAUGAAAGGUCAGAACUUCUGCCAAAUGUGGCCACUUCUAUGGAUGUCAUUGGUUUUGUCAGUCCAUUGUAACUUUCCAUACUCUUUUAUGAAUAAACCUCUUGUGAGCUGUGCUCAUGAGAAAACUGUGAAGAUGAGUGGGAGUUGGGUUCUAAAUUAAAGAGCAGUGUUUUCUUAAAUUGGGGCCAAAAUGUUAGCAAAAGCAGUGGUGCUUGGAAAUUAUUGCUGAAAUAACUGGAAUUCUUGAAGGAAAGUUCAGAAACCCUGAAAGUCUUGUAUAUUGAAUAUGUAUAUUGAAAGGAAAGAACUGUUCCAUCUCCUGCCCAAAGCAGUUAUGUGGACCUACUUCCUAACUGAAUGAUGGUGGUGUGCAUUGUGCCUCUACUUCUCUUGCUAUGGAGUUUCUCUUUCGCUCUCUUUUGAUAUGGUUGCCAGCUAACACGGAUGUUUGCUAUCUGUCCUCAUUAAACUUGUGUGCUCAGUUUAUGUCUCUCAAUCCAGUGAUAUUAUAACUCGUCACACCAUUUAGCUAAUGACUAAUGUUUUUGAAGCAAAACAAGGGCAAUAUUAUCUAAAAUUUAUUUUUAUUUUUAUUUUUCCAAAAGAUCGCUAAGAUGACUAUUAUUUUGAUGUGGUUUGUGUACUAGAAGAGUUCCCGGUAGAUAGUGCAAAGGACAAGGGGAAGAGUUAAAGAGAAAAGAUAAUGGGCAAACUCCUCUUUGUUGGCAAAAAUAAUAUCGAUGUUUUGCAGCUUCCAAAGUGUUGUAUACCUGUUUGCAUUUACCUUGAAGCCCGUGUGCUUUCUGGUGAGUUUUUGUGAAGGUCCUACUCUGUAUGAAGUAAAGGCCAACAAAAGAGCGAUAUCCAGUGCAUGGGAUGGAACUGUCUCUCUUUCCUACAGAAUCAAGUAAUAGAAUGAGUCUGGACAUUUGUCAGAGAUGUCUUAACACUAGAAGCAGUUUUUUGAAAGUAGGCAGCAUUGCUUUUUAAGAGACUCCUACGAAUAUGUCACACAGGGAAGCGUUUCCUUAUAAAAAUGUUAAAAAAAAAAAAAAAGUCAUCUUCGAAGAGGUGAGGUUGUAUACUGGCGCCUCUGCCUGGAAUACCUUUCCCUUACUUGGCCACCUGCAAAAUCCUGAUCACCUAUCAAGCAAAGCACAAGGGUCUCUGACCUCUCUUUCCUAUGUAGAAUUGUUCUUCCUUUGUUUUCAUAGUAUAUUUAGUUCUUUAUUUAGUUCUUGUCUCUGUUAUAAUACCUUUCAGAGUAGAACAAAUAUCUGUUGGCAUACCUUAUGUCAGGAACUGGGCUAAGUGCUUUAAUGAUGACUCUUUAUAACCACCUUAGUAUUAUCUCCAUUUUACAGAAGAGGAAAUGAGAUAACAUAUGAAAAAUGUUUAGUAUCUAGCAUAGAGUAAAACUACAAAAUACAUUAUUAGAAGUAAUUAACAUUGUGUGUUUACAUUUUAAUCCAAUGUCCCUUUGACAUAGGGAAGUCUUACUCUUUGUAGUUCUAACACCUAACAGAGUGCUUGGAACUGAGUAGGUGCUUAAUAAAUCUUGGUUAAAGGUGUGAGUUAUUAGCCAGUUGAUCUGAAUCUUCUUUAUGUUUAGAGUGGAGCAUAAGUAUUUUAUGUUAGAUAGAAAGCAGAACUUUCUAUUUUUUAUGAGGUAUUUUUCUAAUUAGAAACAUAAUAGAGGUUCAUUGGAGAAAAUUAGGACAAUAUAGAAUAUGUAAUUUUCACAGUCAUCUAUCACCCAGAGACAAUUUUUCUUCCACUCUUUUCUGCAUGCAUUUUUACUCUGACAUUAUACUAUGUACAUAGCUUUUGUGUCAAUUUUGCGCUAU